GCCAGUGUUGCUCAGUGGAUAGAGCAUCAGCCUGCAAACUGAAGGGUCCCAGGUUCAUUUCCGGUCAAGGGCA
rnacentral:tRNA from 1 species